GAUUGCGAUCUCAGUUUAGAACAGAAAUUAAAGAUGCUGAAUUUUAUGAAGAGAUUUGGUAAAGUAUCUCUAUGCUUAUCCGUGAAUGAUUACUUCAACGUUACCAAGAAAUUUCCGAUUAAGAUGGGGAGUUCUCUUUACUCCGUAUUUUCUGGUCUUCUAAAACUGAGAACAGCUUCGAGACAUAAUACUCUGUAGUUGAUAUGUUCAAUGUAAUUGUUUCAAAUAAAGAUAUAUUUCAAUAUAAUAAUUAGUAAUAUUUAUUUAAUUACAUAUUUUACAUGCGUGUUUACAUGUUUAAAAGAUUUUCAGACCGUAU